GACGAACGCUGGCGGCGUGCUUAACACAUGCAAGUCGAACGGAAAGGCCCUGCCUUUGUUGGUUGCUCGAUUGGCGCACGGGGGAGUAACACGCGUGUAACCUGCCCCUGUCUUUGGGAUAACUUCUGGAAACUGGGGCGAUUACCGGGGAUGAGCUCCUGCAGCAUGGGGGUGAUUGGUAAAUUUCGGCAGUUGGGGCUGGACUCGCGGCUUAUCCGCUUGUUGGUGGGGUAGUGACUUUCGAAGCCUUUGACGGGUAGGCGGCCUGAGAGGGUGACCGGGGACAUGGGGACUGCGAGACGGCGCAGAAUGCUACGGGAGGCAGCAGUGGGGAGUAUUGCAGAGUGGGGGGGAGCGUGAGGCAGCAACGCCGGGUGCGGGAUGACGGCCUACGGGGUGUGAACAGCUUUCGAAGGUGCUGAAGCGUGAGUGACGGUAAUGGGUCAAGAAGCAACGGCUAACUACGUG
rnacentral:rRNA from 1 species